UAGGGAAUCUUCGGCAAUGGGGGGAACCCUGACCGAGCAACGCCGCGUGAGUGAAGAAGGUUUUCGGAUCGUAAAGCUCUGUUGUUAAGGAAGAACGAGUGUGAGAAUGGAAAGUUCAUGCUGUGACGGUACUUAACCAGAAAGGGACGGCUAACUACGUGCCAGCAGCCGCGGUAAUACGUAGGUCCCGAGCGUUGUCCGGAUUUAUUGGGCGUAAAGCGAGCGCAGGCGGUUAGAAAAGUCUGAAGUGAAAGGCAGUGGCUCAACAAUUGUAGGCUUUGGAAACUGUUUAACUUGAGUGCAGAAGGGGAGAGUGGAAUUCCAUGUGUAGCGGUGAAAUGCGUAGAUAUAUGGAGGAACACCGGUGGCGAAAGCGGCUCUCUGGUCUGUAACUGACGCUGAGGCUCGAAAGCGUGGGGAGCGAACAGG
rnacentral:rRNA from 1 species